CCUACGGGCGGCAGCAGUGGGGAAUAUUGGACAAUGGGCGAAAGCCUGAUCCAGCCAUGCCGCGUGUGUGAAGAAGGCCUUCGGGUUGUAAAGCACUUUCAGUGGGGAAGAAAGCCUUGGGGCUAAUACCCUCGAGGAAGGACAUCACCCACAGAAGAAGCACCGGCUAACUCCGUGCCAGCAGCCGCGGUAAUACGGAGGGUGCGAGCGUUAAUCGGAAUUACUGGGCGUAAAGCGCGCGUAGGCGGUCUGAUAAGCCGGUUGUGAAAGCCCCGGGCUCAACCUGGGAACGGCAUCCGGAACUGUCAGGCUAGAGUGCAGGAGAGGAAGGUAGAAUUCCCGGUGUAGCAGUGAAAUGCGUAGAGAUCGGGAGGAAUACCAGUGGCGAAGGCGGCCUUCUGGACUGACACUGACGCUGAGGUGCGAAAGCGUGGGUAGCGAACAGGAUUAGAUACCCGAGUAGUC
rnacentral:rRNA from 1 species